rnacentral:rRNA from 1 species
UAAUACGUAGGGUGCAGGCGUUAAUCGGAAUUACUGGGCGUAAAGCGUGCGCAGGCGGUCUGUUAAGACAGGUGUGAAAUCCCCGAGCUCAACUUGGGAAUUGCGCUUGUAACUGGCAGGCUAGAGUGUGGCAGAGGGGGGUGGAAUUCCACGUGUAGCAGUGAAAUGCGUAGAUAUGUGGAGGAACACCGAUGGCGAAGGCAGCCCCCUGGGUUAACACUGACGCUCAGGCACGAAAGCGUGGGGAGCAAACAGGAUUAGAUACCCUGGUAGUCCACGCCCUAAACUAUGUCAACUGGUUGUCGGGGAAGAAAUUCCUUGGUAACGAAGCUAACGCGUGAAGUUGACCGCCUGGGGAGUACGGCCGCAAGGUUA